rnacentral:rRNA from 1 species
CCUACGGGCGGCAGCAGUGGGGAAUAUUGGACAAUGGGGGGAACCCUGAUCCAGCCAUGCCGCGUGUGUGAGGAAGGCCCUCGGGUUGUAAAGCACUUUCAGUGAGGAAGAACGCCUGGUGGUUAAUACCCAUCAGGAAAGACAUCACUCACAGAAGAAGCACCGGCUAACUCCGUGCCAGCAGCCGCGGUAAUACGGAGGGUGCGAGCGUUAAUCGGAAUUACUGGGCGUAAAGCGCGCGUAGGUGGCUUGAUAAGCCGGUUGUGAAAGCCCCGGGCUCAACCUGGGAACGGCAUCCGGAACUGUCAAGCUAGAGUGCAGGAGAGGAAGGUAGAAUUCCCGGUGUAGCGGUGAAAUGCGUAGAGAUCGGGAGGAAUACCAGUGGCGAAGGCGGCCUUCUGGACUGACACUGACACUGAGGUGCGAAAGCGUGGGUAGCAAACAGGAUUAGAUACCCCUGUAGUC